rnacentral:rRNA from 1 species
CAAUAGCGUAUAUUUAAGUUGUUGCAGUUAAAAAGCUCGUAGUUGGAUUUCGGUUGAGAACGGCCGGUCCGCCGUUUGGUGUGCACUGGCUGGUCUCAACUUCCUGUAGAGGACGCGCUCUGGGUUAACGCUCGGACGCGGAGUCUACGUGGUUACUUUGAAAAAAUUUAGAGUAGUUCAAAGCGGGCUUAACGCUUGAAUAUUUCAGCAUGGAAUAACACUAUAGGACUCCUGUCCUAUUUCGUUGGUCUCGGGACGGAGUAAUGAUUAAGAGGAACAGUUGGGGGCAUUCGUAUUUCGAUUGUCAGAGGUGAAAUUCUUGGAUUUAUGAAAGACGAACUUCUGCGAAAGCAUUUGCCAAGGAUGUUUUUCAUUAAAUCAAGUAACGAAAGUUGGGGCUCGAAGAUGAUCAGAUACCGU